rnacentral:lncRNA from 1 species
GAUAACACAUGGCGAGGGGGUGGACACAACACAACAAGGGGCACCACGGACGCUCGAACUGCAGCGGCGAGCCGAGACUAAACCAUGACACUGCACCAUCGACGCAAUCGAAAAACACCGGGCAACCAAGACUGCACAACGCCGCGACACCACCUGUGUCAUGGGGUACAUUCGAACGGUCACGCCGGGCCGAGACGACGCCACGGCACCUGUGUGCCACAGGUGUAGUCAGAGGGCAUCACCCGGCAUAGAACUUCAUAGAGCACACCCAAAACAUCACAACAAGGGGCACCACGGGCGCUCGAACUGCAGCGCGAGCCGAGACUAAACCACGACACUGUGCCGUCGACGCAAUCGAAAGGCACCGGGCAACCAAGACUGCACAACGCCGCGACACCACCUGUGUCAUGGGGUACAUUCGAACAGUCACGCCGGGCCUAGACUGCACCACGGCACCUGUGUGCCACCGGUGUAGUCGAAGGGCAUCACCAAGCACAGAGCUCCACAAAGCACACCCAAAACAUCACAAGACCGGGGAUGAAGACAACACCAUCAAGAUGGAAAACGACGGGACGCGUCGCCGCUGUCUCGGCCAG